GCUACAAAAUGGGACCCUUUUGCCAGUAUCAAAAGUGUGAAUAACAAUUGUUUUUACCCUUUCUGGCAAUAAAACAGGAUGUGUUAAGAUGUCCACAUACCAAAUAGAAUCGUUUAUCAAGGAAUCCAAGUUCGCAUUCACCACACGUCCUUGUGGUGAACAUGCAAAAAAAACUAAUAAUAUAUGCAGUGUCUUUGAAACUGAUUGGCCUACACCAGAGACAGCCUUCUUUAGGUCCUGGUCUCACCACCAGUGUCAGACCAGAGAGAGUCCAAUUUUGUAGCUGCUCACCACGAUCAGAACUGUCCUGAAAAUUGCAUCAUUUGCUGCUGCUGUGUGAGCAAAAGUGCAACAAACACAGUUAACAACAAUCAACGCAUUUCGUCAAUAAAACCGCGGCCUUAAAUACAGAAAUAUAUUAAACGAAAUACAACCGACGACGUUUCGGGCAAUGGCACUUCUUCACAACACAGAAGCCGAAGAGAUGCUGAACUUCUUUCUCACCGUACGUUGCCAACCGUGCUAAUCGGAGGUGCUGUGAAUGUGCAUUGCCCAAAACUAUGUUCAUUAUAAACGUUUUCUUUUUUUAAGGCGGUGUUAUUAACGAAUGUGUUUCGUUUUGUUGCAUUUGAGCUGUGCACAAUGAGUAGAUUCACCAACUAAAAUCUGCAAUGAACUACGUUCGUGGUCGAUUAGUUGGGCCCCCAUUUACGCAUAAAUCUCGCCUCUCAAACGCCGCAAUUAGCUGUCCCAUGAGCAGCUUCCAACCUUUAAGGUUUCCAAAGAUCGACACGCCUAAAACAUUAUUUCAAGGUCAAGAGGUAAACGUGACUAAUGCUGAUGCCACCACAACUCACCAUCCUUUCCGUCUGCUGGCUUUCCCCUAAGUUGUUUCUAAAGUCGACAAAUUGGCAUCCCUCCAACCAUUGCUCUCCGUUCUAUUCCAAACUUCGAAGUUACAUCCUUUUCCAUCCUGCACGUUUGGCACCAAUCGCCAUAUCGGGUUUUUUUUUACUUUGUUACAUUUACAACGCUUUAAUGCCACGUUUCAUUCGGAAACCUUCGAGCUCUUUACAAAUACUGAGCCUAUCUUAUCCACGUAACACUCAAACAUUAUCUAGCAUAUGCAAUGUAUUCAGAAUGGCCAAAAGCUUCUGAAAUGCUCGAGAACCUUAACUGAUCGCCGCAUCCAAUUAAAUGCAACUUAGAAAAAAAACCCCAUCGGUUGUCCACAACAUGCGGACGGAAACUUUAGUCGUAUUUUUUUUCUUAAAACUAAAAACUUUUCACAUGGUGUUAACGUGACCCACAUGGACGAAUCUGCUCGCGGGCGAAACUGCGACUGGCGCCAACCGAGCUCGUAUAAAAGCAACGACCGGGCGGGUGGGAGGGAGCAGUGGCGCGGCCGCCAUCGUUGCCUAUCUGCAACAACAUCGUCGUGGUCGUCUUCAGUUAAAUCCGUCGGCAUCCUCCGCCAUCGCAGCCUCCUCGUCGCCUACUAACAUCGUCAACCGGAAGAGCGGGAAGUCAUGAGCCGUUUCGUCGCGGAACAUCGACGGCGUGGCGGCCGAUGGAGCGAGAUAUUGGCCGGCGAAAACAAACGCUUUCCCUUGAACUAAAAUGGAGCUUGGCUUGACCACCAUGUUGAGAUGGCCUCAGAAGCUUUGAGGAAUGACAGCCUUUUGGUGGGAAGAAAUAUAAAAGCCAUUACCCGGCUGUGACAGGAUUAAUAUUUUUUCUGCCAUUUGCACUCAUGAGCUUGAAAAUAUACGUGUUGUGUUUUUUUAGUAAGUGCUCUUUGUUAUAUUUAAAGUGGCAUGCAUGAAUUGUAAGCAGCACUUGCCUUGUACACAGGGUUGUUGGAUCAUGCAGUUAAUUUUUUUAAAUUGAAUUACGGUUCGUGAUGAGUUAACAUUGACGUAAUGUUUUGUACACAACGCAUUUUUUUAAGUUUAAACUGCAUCCGAUUAACGAAUAUGAAAUGUUAUGGAACGAGGCAUUCUUGCAUUGAACGGCAGUGUGAACCACGAACCCGGCUGGAUGAAGCGAAUGACAUCUAAAAAGCCAAACUAGAUCCUUUUUAAACUCAAAAUUAUCUUGAGUUAUGCCAUAAAGCCACGACGUUUGUGGCUUACAUCGCUGGACCAACGUUUAGAAUGGUCCCGAGGAACCGGGCAGGAUUUGCGAAGCGGACCCAUCUGUCCAAGGCGCCCUGGUCACUUCGACACCAAUCAAUGUACCGACAGUUUUAAAUGGUUCUUUUUUUUAAAGAAACACCCUUCUAAAAUCCCACCACAUCUUCGACCACGAACGCCUGGAUGUAAACAACGUAGAAUUAAAUCCAUGGGAAGCUGGGAUGGUGGCUUCAUUUGCUGAAAAAUUAAGGGAUUUGUUUUCACUAGGACCAUCCCCACAUUCUCUUCCGUCAUAUCCAUCCUGCUGGGAUCUUUUUUUCUCCACGAAGCGUGGAGUUCGUGGCGGUUCUUGUCCACAGAAGCUUGUGGAUCACAGGUAAAAGGACAAGGCAAACAAAUGUACACGCCACCAUUUCAACAUUUGCGUAUUAUGGCUUUCAUAGAUAGCACACAGCACGUUAUUCUUUUUCAAGCCAUAGAAUUAAACAUCUUUAACAUCAAAUCAGUAAAUGUUUACGUUACGGUGUUACUGGAGUGGUUUUCCAUGAUAUUCCAGAUGUCCACCGUUGUAACACACUCGCUUUUUGCUUACAUAUAACAUUUCUUUAAAUUGCAAAAUAUUUAACAGCUUUCCACCAACAAACGCGAUGCUAAAUAUCCACCCCCGCAGAGAGAAAAAAAAAUAUCCAACGUUGAAUUUCACUUGGCUUUACCUCGUGAUGAAAAAUAACGAAACAAAAAAAAUUAAGCCACGAAUCCAGCUGCGAAUCGUUUUUUUUCCACCCCCACCAAAAGGAAUCCUCGAGAAAAUUUCCACUGCGCCACGCCACUUGAGCACCACCAUCACCACCACCACCUCCCUUCACCGGGCGCCAUUGUGCCAUCUUCCCCCACAGCUGACAAGAUUUGCCUCCCUCCAUGGCUCCGCGCAUUCCCUCUUCUCUCGUCGGUAUCCAAGACAGGGCAUGGCUGCCGUGCUCCUCCCUCAUUCCUUCCCUCCCUCAUUCCUUCCUUCCCUCAUUCAUUCCCUCCUCCCACCCUCCCACCUCCCCCCCCUUCUUCCUCUCGACGAGAAAUUCGUUAAACAUUUCUCAUCCACCCAACGUUAACGUCCACCCACUUUUACUCCAGAAGCGGCGGGUGAUGUUGGCUCAAUAGCAACAACAAAACCACCGCCGCCACCACCACCAACCAAGCGGCAACAACAACAACCAGGAGGGAGAAGAGCUGAAGGGGAAGGGCGGCGGCUGUGGGUGGUUGCAUUGCAUGUAAAGCAGCUGUCCUCUACACCGGUGCAGGCAGCCUUGCGCGGUCGAGAUGUCCUCUUCCUUCUGAGCUUCUCCGCUCACCAUUCACCGCCACAAUACGAAGAAGAUGCCUCAUUCUCUCGUCAAAGAUUUCGUAUGGAUGGUCGCCCCCAGAGUGUGCGACUUGGCACACGAGGAGGAGCAGGGAUGAGGAAUGGCGUUGUUGGAGUUGUUUUUUUUUGUUGUCCUCCACAUCACCCAACAACCACCAUCACCAACAACAUCGCAUUCCAAAACCUCGGUCGCCAGACAAACAGGAUUUUUUGUUUUAUUUUCUCGUUGCCGAUGCUUGCCGCCGUUGUUUUUUUUUGAGAAUUUUUUGUAGCUAUACAGCCGGUUAAAAAGAGCGAGAGGAGGAGAGGGGGCCCCGGUGUUUGUGGAGAGAACUUGACACGAAGAAGAAGAGGCGGCGAGACGCAUGGAAGCUUCCAGUGAUGAUGAGUAAGGCGUUGCCCUCUUGGCAAGUGCAGCGAGCUCAUGCCUCACAUUGCGGCUUGGCUUUGCCGGCGGAGGGUGGUGGUAGGGUGGAGGGGGGGGGGUCGGUGCAGCCACCACACAGCAUAUUCGAUAGCUGCACUCUUUAAAAUACACCGCCACAUCUUCUACACAUUCGCAACUCCGCAAUCUUCUCGCUGCACACACUUGACGCACACCGCAAGUUCAUACCUUGCACGCUUGACUGCAGCGACAUUAGACGCUGCUGGAGAUUGCGCAUUUUGACGCUGUGUAGGUAGGUAGCGUAGCUUGCUUUGCACGCUGGACGGACACCUAAACGCAUAGCAGCACAGAUGGCGAUACGUUCUGCAGCACAAUUGGGACUCGUAAACUGGUCGCCGCGGGGUUUUUUUCCCUCUCUCAUUCGCCGUCGCAGCCGGGCACACUUUGACGCCACAAAGCUGCACGAAGCCACUGGCUGGAGAUGCGCUUGGGCACAAUUUUCUUGGCUGCGAAAUUGACACGCGCGCACGUCUGUAGCUUGCAGACACCACAAUAUAACUGCGCGUUGACAUUGCACCCGGUCUACAGAUGCACAUUGUUUUUAAAAUACAGUACAUCCUAUAGCUGCACAUUUGUACACUACCAGUAUAUACUGUCCUUUUACGACUGCACUUUUGACACAAACGGAUACAGAUGGAUUCAGCAUAGCCUGCUUAUUUAGCUGCACGCACUUGCAACGCCACAAUCUUAAAAAGCUGCACGCGUGGCAUUAACUCCACUAUUCCUAAGCUGCACACUUUUGACAUCUCAUACAGCCUAUAUAAUAGUAGUAACAAUACAGUAUUGGAACUGCAUUAUCCUCAUUUCGGGAGAUCGGCCAAAAGCCGCUGCGUCCUGGGGGAGGGUCCCCUUGAUUCCUUGACCCCCCACUUGGUUUUCUUGUCCCCAGACUCCUCCUGGACUUGGCAGGUCCCCUUGCCUCCAGGACCCCGGCUGUCGGAGACCAAGACCCCCAACACGCCACGUCCCACCCCCUUGGGCAAGGGGGUCGACGAGAAGAUAAUUUAUGGAGGUCACCGACUGCGAGCUUAGAUGGUCCGUGUUGUGUUUUUGUGUUUGCGUAUGAUUGUGCAUGGCUGUGUCUUGUGUCCGUUUCUAUGUGUGCAUCUUUGUCUAAUCGCGUGUCUGUGUGUAUGGGUUUUCUGUGCGAAUGUCUAUCGAUUUGGCUGUGUGUCUGCAUGUGUGUGUGUCCGUAAGGUUCGUUGGGUGACUACAUGUCCGAGUGCCUUGUGUAUUUUUAUGCCUGUACGCUCUUGUGUGUACUGCCUUAAUAGGUGCUCAAUAGCAGCACUUGCCCUCACUCCAUAUAAGGCAAUCUAUGCAAGUGUUCCUUGUAAGUCUUUCAAUGUCUAUGUUGUACGUCGUGUACUUUCUAUAUCUCACUUCUACCAUGUGUGUUAAUGUUGUCUGCUGUGGAUCUACAUUGUUAUCAGUGCCUUUGUCAGUCUUAUCGUGUGUCUGUGUGACCCGUCGCCACGUGUCCACGCCUCUUGUCACUGCCCGUGCGUCCGUGAAUGUCUCCGUGCGUAUCUUCCCACCGUGUGUGCUCCAGCUGAUAAUUAAAACCCCCUUGCACACAUCUCCUCGACGCUCUGCUGUUGCUGUUCACUCGUCGUGUUCUGUAUCACCGCAACAGUUUUGCGCGCACAGGUUCACUGCUGCACAAAAAAGAGGUCGUAUUGCAUAACCAGGACGACGACAACAACAACAAUAAUCUGUGUGCCUGCCAACGUAGCGCCGUGUCCAGUUUAACCAAUGCCCUAGAUGGGUGAGUUGUGCGAGGAAGAGGUGGCUUGCACGUGUUAAGAAGUAUUCGCCUUGGUUGUGUUGAGACUGUUUUAAGCGUUACGAGUCCGUCACCCGUACCAGUGUGCGUGUGUGUGAUGUUAAAACUCGUGCGUGGCAGUGCAUCUGUCCCUCGUCUUUGUGUUAUAGACAAAGUGUUGUUUAAGGCGGUGACUGUAAGUGAGUCGGUGUGUGACUAAGGCUGACCUGGGGGGGGGGGGGGGGGUGAUGGCUAUAACUGCGAGGAGGUUGUGAUUGUGUGCAAAUAUAUAAGCCUUCACUGUGCCAGGUGUGUAUAACGUGUGUGACUGUGUGUGUGUAACUUUUAGAUAUGACUCGUCUAUGAAUCUAAUGAAUUCGCCUCCACUGCAGGCUUGCUGAUGAUGAUGAUGAAGAAGAUGAUGGUGGUGGUGUGGGGGGGGAGGCGAUGGUUAUUCUCGGUUUCCAUCACGAACCACAGCCCCAGUCGACUUUGUUCCCAAGCCCCAUCGCCUCUGUCGCACCCGGGACAGAUGCCUCGUUGACAAUCGUGACCACGCCAGUGGUUUGUUGAAUGUCCCCUCGUCCAUCGUUGUAAAAAUCGGCCCCACUCUCUACCGCCGGAUGAAAUGUCUCUUCUCCCGAAACACCGUCGCUCGCGGGUCCCGCAGUCGCUGGCACCGUCCCGUCUUGGCGCAUUUCACCGCUCCAUCUCCGUGCUCGGAGGGCCUCUUUGACGCGCUCUCCUCUCCGCUGGCAUUCCGUCACCGGAUUUCACUUCGACGGUCAGCAUCCCAUCAGGCCCAAAGUCCAUUUUGACGGGGUUGUUUUUUUUUUCCUUAAGUGGCGUCAGAUUUGUUAUUAAUCUCUCCGUUACGUCUUCGAACUACCGUUUACAGAAGCUGAAAUGUGGACAAUCUUCACGUGGAAUUUGGGGAAAAGGACAAACACAAAGGCGGACGGUCUAGUGUUUUUUGUGACCGCCCCAAUAUAAUCGAAUUGGCUGUUACUGGGGAAGAAGACACGAGAGGGUGAAAGAGUCGGGGCUGGUGGUGGUGGGGUCUUGGCGAGGUGGGGAGGGCCCCCUUGUCUGAACCACUCAGCCUCCGGUGUACACCCCCCCCCCCAAAAGCUGUGGUCCAUGACCACCGCGCAUAAGCAGAGGCUGACGACAGCACCGAGCGAGAUUGCGUCAGGGGAGAGAGAGGAGGCGAUAGAGGAGGAGGUGAUAGAGGAGGAGGAGGCACCCCCACCCCCCUCUCUCUGUGGGGGAGGGGAAGAGGAGAGGGGGAGCAGCGAGGGGUAUGGGAGAAGGGUGGAGACCGGGGGCCGAGGGAGGGAGCCGUGGAAUAGGUUGAUGAGGUUAGGAGAGAGAGAGGGAGCAGGGGAGUGGAGAAGGGAGCAGGAUUUUAUUCGUCCGGCCGAAAUUGGUGGUGUGUGAUGGUGUUUUUUUUUAAAUAUAUAUUUUUUUAAAUCCAGUUUUCACCGUAUUAGUUGCAUGGCUUUUUAACGCGUUCGCGUUAUCUGUCACCGUGGCUGUUGUUUCUCCGCGAUUGACGUUGCCAAUUCGUGUUGUGCUUCUCUAACUCGCUGAACAUGUUGCAGCGUCGAAGAGCUUGUUCCUCCACGACGGAUGACGUUGCGUAAAGAUCAUCAUUCUUACCUGGGGGGGGGGGGGUUCAGCUUCGUGUUUGAGAGUCGCGGGGAUAGAGAGAGAUGGAGGAAUGUAUGAUGGGGCUAUGGCUGGGAACAAGAUGGUUUAGGCUAAGCGGGGGAUGGGGAGCAUUGUGAGUGGAGGGGGGGUGGGUUUGACAAGGGGGAAAUGGAGAAUGGCUUUUGGAAUAAGGAACUCAGAAUCCUUUUGCCGGAAUGCGCCCAGUCAUCUCGUGUACAGUGUUAGGGGGUGGGUGGCAGGAGUUUGUGGGGGGAGAGGCUGGGUUGGUGUUCGAGUGUGGGGUUGCAUUGGCGGAAGACGAAUCCCCAUCCAUUGUACUGUGCUUCUAUUGCGCUCAAGAACUAGAUAUGCCCUGCCUGCCUAAACAACUACCGUGGUUCUCUUUUUGCCUUUAAGUCGCCGAGUCUCCGUCCAGAUUGGCCAGGGGAUGGAUUUGUUUGAUGCGCGCUGGUGGAUUGCUUGGUUGAACUUUCGGAAGAGGCACACUUCAGUCACCAGCGUGGUGAAGUAUGGUCAACAUUUCCCCCCACAUCACGCACGGGCGUGGAGGGGAGGCCCUCAUCCAGCAGUGGAUGGACAAAGGCUGAUCCAGAAGCAGUGACGUGAGACAGCGCAUGGUGAGACGUAGCACCACCUCUAUACUUCACCACGCUGGUGGCCUGGGAGGCUUUUGCCGUGCUUGUGGAGGUAACCCCGUCUCGACAUGCCGCAUACAGCAUCACCAGCCAUCUCUCUAGCUCGUCGUGUUUGUCAUCGUAAUUUACUUUUGUGUUUAAAAAAACCGUAUACAGUAACAUGCCGAUCCACUGCUGGAUGAGGGCCCUUCCCAACGCCGGUGCUGUUCGCGAGGGGUUGUUUUAACCAUACUUCACCACGCCGGCCAGUGCGAGUAGGUGACGUCAAAACAACGGUGGUAUUGAAUGUGUAUAUUUGUUGAUCUCAAGAUGAGAAUGAACAAAUGUAUUGUAUCGUUAAUCGAGCUUAUCAUUUACGCAUUCCGGUUAGGCUAAUGAGUUAAUCGGUGUAAUUUUCACGCUCAGUAACCGGUGGAGAUUUAUGCCGUUUUGAGUGGUGUAAAGAUGUCUAAAAUGCAAAUAAAGGACUUGGGUCAAACCGGUCUAAACCGGCUUGGGAGCUCGAAUUCA